AAACUCAAAAAAGUAAGUCUCAGUUCGGAUUGCAGGCUGAAAUUCGCCUGCAUGAAGCCGGAAUUGCUAGUAAUGGCAGGUCAGCAUACUGCCGUGAAUACGUUCCCGGGCCUUGUACACACCGCCCGUCACACCAUGAGAGUUGGGAAUACCCGAAGCCUGUGAGCUAACUGUAAAGAGGCAGCAGUCGAAGGUAGAAUCAAUGAUUGGGGUGAAGUCGUAACAAGGUAUC
rnacentral:rRNA from 1 species